rnacentral:rRNA from 1 species
UACGUAGGGUGCGAGCGUUGUCCGGAAUUAUUGGGCGUAAAGAGCGUGUAGGCGGCUUUACAGGUCCGUUGUGAAAACUCGAGGCUCAACCUCGAGACGCCGGUGGAAACCGUAAGGCUAGAGUCCGGAAGAGGAGAGUGGAAUUCCUGGUGUAGCGGUGAAAUGCGCAGAUAUCAGGAAGAACACCCGUGGCGAAAGCGGCUCUCUGGAACGGUACUGACGCUGAGACGCGAAAGCGUGGGGAGCGAACAGG